rnacentral:rRNA from 1 species
ACUCACAAGAUUAAUAACGCGUUUNNNNNNNNNNNNNNNAUGAAGGACGUUACUAACGACGAUAUGCUUUGGGGAGCUGUAAGUAAGCUUUGAUCCAGAGAUUUCCGAAUGGGGAAACCCAGCAUGAGUUAUGUCAUGUUAUCGAUAUGUGAAUACAUAGCAUAUCAGAAGGCACACCCGGAGAACUGAAACAUCUUAGUACCCGGAGGAAGAGAAAGAAAAUUCGAUUCCCUUAGUAGCGGCGAGCGAAACGGGAAGAGCCCAAACCAACAAGCUUGCUUGUUGGGGUUGUAGGACACUCUAUACGGAGUUACAAAGGACGACAUUAGACGAAUCAUCUGGAAAGAUGAAUCAAAGAAGGUAAUAAUCCUGUAGUCGAAAAUGUUGUCUCUCUUGAGUGGAUCCUGAGUACGACGGAGCACGUGAAAUUCCGUCGGAAUCUGGGAGGACCAUCUCCUAAGGCUAAAUACUCUCUAGUGACCGAUAGUGAACCAGUACCGUGAGGGAAAGGUGAAAAGCACCCCGGAAGGGGAGUGAAAUAGAACCUGAAACCGUGUGCUUACAAGUAGUCAGAGCCCGUUAAUGGGUGAUGGCGUGCCUUUUGUAGAAUGAACCGGCGAGUUACGAUUUGAUGCAAGGUUAAGCAGUAAAUGUGGAGCCGUAGCGAAAGCGAGUCUGAAUAGGGCGUUUAGUAUUUGGUCGUAGACCCGAAACCAGGUGAUCUACCCUUGGUCAGGUUGAAGUUCAGGUAACACUGAAUGGAGGACCGAACCGACUUACGUUGAAAAGUGAGCGGAUGAACUGAGGGUAGCGGAGAAAUUCCAAUCGAACCUGGAGAUAGCUGGUUCUCUCCGAAAUAGCUUUAGGGCUAGCCUCAAGUGAUGAUUAUUGGAGGUAGAGCACUGUUUGGACGAGGGGCCCCUCUCGGGUUACCGAAUUCAGACAAACUCCGAAUGCCAAUUAAUUUAACUUGGGAGUCAGAACAUGGGUGAUAAGGUCCGUGUUCGAAAGGGAAACAGCCCAGACCACCAGCUAAGGUCCCAAAAUAUAUGUUAAGUGGAAAAGGAUGUGGCGUUGCCCAGACAACUAGGAUGUUGGCUUAGAAGCAGCCAUCAUUUAAAGAGUGCGUAAUAGCUCACUAGUCGAGUGACACUGCGCCGAAAAUGUACCGGGGCUAAACAUAUUACCGAAGCUGUGGAUUGUCCUUUGGACAAUGGUAGGAGAGCGUUCUAAGGGCGUUGAAGCAUGAUCGUAAGGACAUGUGGAGCGCUUAGAAGUGAGAAUGCCGGUGUGAGUAGCGAAAGACGGGUGAGAAUCCCGUCCACCGAUUGACUAAGGUUUCCAGAGGAAGGCUCGUCCGCUCUGGGUUAGUCGGGUCCUAAGCUGAGGCCGACAGGCGUAGGCGAUGGAUAACAGGUUGAUAUUCCUGUACCACCUAUAAUCGUUUUAAUCGAUGGGGGGACGCAGUAGGAUAGGCGAAGCGUGCGAUUGGAUUGCACGUCUAAGCAGUAAGGCUGAGUAUUAGGCAAAUCCGGUACUCGUUAAGGCUGAGCUGUGAUGGGGAGAAGACAUUGUGUCUUCGAGUCGUUGAUUUCACACUGCCGAGAAAAGCCUCUAGAUAGAAAAUAGGUGCCCGUACCGCAAACCGACACAGGUAGUCAAGAUGAGAAUUCUAAGGUGAGCGAGCGAACUCUCGUUAAGGAACUCGGCAAAAUGACCCCGUAACUUCGGGAGAAGGGGUGCUCUUUAGGGUUAACGCCCAGAAGAGCCGCAGUGAAUAGGCCCAAGCGACUGUUUAUCAAAAACACAGGUCUCUGCUAAACCGUAAGGUGAUGUAUAGGGGCUGACGCCUGCCCGGUGCUGGAAGGUUAAGAGGAGUGGUUAGCUUCUGCGAAGCUACGAAUCGAAGCCCCAGUAAACGGCGGCCGUAACUAUAACGGUCCUAAGGUAGCGAAAUUCCUUGUCGGGUAAGUUCCGACCCGCACGAAAGGCGUAACGAUUUGGGCACUGUCUCAACGAGAGACUCGGUGAAAUCAUAGUACCUGUGAAGAUGCAGGUUACCCGCGACAGGACGGAAAGACCCCGUGGAGCUUUACUGUAGCCUGAUAUUGAAAUUCGGCACAGCUUGUACAGGAUAGGUAGGAGCCUUUGAAACGUGAGCGCUAGCUUACGUGGAGGCGCUGGUGGGAUACUACCCUAGCUGUGUUGGCUUUCUAACCCGCACCACUUAUCGUGGUGGGAGACAGUGUCAGGCGGGCAGUUUGACUGGGGCGGUCGCCUCCUAAAAGGUAACGGAGGCGCUCAAAGGUUCCCUCAGAAUGGUUGGAAAUCAUUCAUAGAGUGUAAAGGCAUAAGGGAGCUUGACUGCGAGACCUACAAGUCGAGCAGGGUCGAAAGACGGACUUAGUGAUCCGGUGGUUCCGCAUGGAAGGGCCAUCGCUCAACGGAUAAAAGCUACCCCGGGGAUAACAGGCUUAUCUCCCCCAAGAGUUCACAUCGACGGGGAGGUUUGGCACCUCGAUGUCGGCUCAUCGCAUCCUGGGGCUGUAGUCGGUCCCAAGGGUUGGGCUGUUCGCCCAUUAAAGCGGUACGCGAGCUGGGUUCAGAACGUCGUGAGACAGUUCGGUCCCUAUCCGUCGUGGGCGUAGGAAAUUUGAGAGGAGCUGUCCUUAGUACGAGAGGACCGGGAUGGACAUACCUCUGGUGUACCAGUUGUCGUGCCAACGGCAUAGCUGGGUAGCUAUGUGUGGACGGGAUAAGUGCUGAAAGCAUCUAAGCAUGAAGCCCCCCUCAAGAUGAGAUUUCCCAACUUCGGUUAUAAGAUCCCUCAAAGAUGAUGAGGUUAAUAGGUUCGAGGUGGAAGCAUGGUGACAUGUGGAGCUGACGAAUACUAAUCGAUCGAAGACUUAAUCAA